UCUAGUGACGAUGGCAAAGAGACCACGCUCGUCCCCAUCUUAAACACGGAAGUUAAGCUCUUUUGCGCCAAUGAUAGUUGGGGUCUCCCCCUGUGAGAGUAGGAUGUCGCUGGGU
rnacentral:rRNA from 1 species